UACAUGCAAGUCGAACGAACUUCCGUUAAUUGAUUAUGACGUACUUGUACUGAUUGAGAUUUUAACACGAAGUGAGUGGCGAACGGGUGAGUAACACGUGGGUAACCUGCCCAGAAGUAGGGGAUAACACCUGGAAACAGAUGCUAAUACCGUAUAACAGAGAAAACCGCAUGGUUUUCUUUUAAAAGAUGGCUCUGCUAUCACUUCUGGAUGGACCCGCGGCGUAUUAGCUAGUUGGUGAGGUAAAGGCUCACCAAGGCAGUGAUACGUAGCCGACCUGAGAGGGUAAUCGGCCACAUUGGGACUGAGACACGGCCCAGACUCCUACGGGAGGCAGCAGUAGGGAAUCUUCCACAAUGGACGCAAGUCUGAUGGAGCAACGCCGCGUGAGUGAAGAAGGGUUUCGGCUCGUAAAGCUCUGUUGUUAAAGAAGAACGUGGGUAAGAGUAACUGUUUACCCAGUGACGGUAUUUAACCAGAAAGCCACGGCUAACUACGUGCCAGCAGCCGCGGUAAUACGUAGGUGGCAAGCGUUAUCCGGAUUUAUUGGGCGUAAAGCGAGCGCAGGCGGUCUUUUAAGUCUAAUGUGAAAGCCUUCGGCUCAACCGAAGAAGUGCAUUGGAAACUGGGAGACUUGAGUGCAGAAGAGGACAGUGGAACUCCAUGUGUAGCG
rnacentral:rRNA from 1 species